rnacentral:rRNA from 1 species
CGUAGGUGGCGAGCGUUGUCCGGAUUUACUGGGCGUAAAGAGCGCGCAGGCGGUCGUGCAAGUCGCGUGUGAAAGCCCCCGGCUCAACUGGGGAGGGUCACGCGAUACUGCUCGACUCGAAGGCAGGAGAGGGAAGUGGAAUUCCCGGUGUAGUGGUGAAAUGCGUAGAUAUCGGGAGGAACACCAGUGGCGAAGGCGACUUCCUGGCCUGUUCUUGACGCUGAGGCGCGAAAGCUAGGGUAGCAAACGGGAUUAGAUACCCCGGUAGUCCUAGCCGUAAACGAUGGACACUAGGUGUUGGUGGUAUCAACUCCGCCAGUGCCGAAGCUAACGCAUUAAGUGUCCCGCCUGGGGAGUACGGCCGCAAGGCUA